CAGUGUCCAUUGAAGGACAUUGAACACAUGUACCAAAAUGACCAACCUAUUUUGGAAAAAUAUGUGAGAAAGCAGCAGUCUAUAGAGGAUGGACUAUUUCAACUACAAAGCCAAAAUCUGUUGUAUCAACAGCAAUGUAAUGAUGCUCACAAGAAAGCUGACAAUCAGGAAAAAACAAUAAUUAAUAUCCAAGUCAAAUGUGAAGAUACUGUAGAAAAACUUCAAGCUGAGUGUAGAAAGCUAGAAGAGAACAAUAAGGGGUUGAUGAAGGAAUGCACUCUUUUAAAAGAAAGACAAUGCCAAUAUGAAAAAGAGAAAGAAAAAGGAGAAUUGCAAGAAAUGCAGGAUCAACGCACAGAGACUCUAAGAUGUGCUGAGGAGAUGCCAGACCACAUGCAAAAAUGCAGCAGGUGUACAAGGAAACAUAACUGUAGAAGUAGCUGAAGAGUUACUGCGCAUUUCUGUGUCAUCUACAUGCCAUGAAAGUCUUAAAAUCAAUUGUCAAUUUCUACAAAAUACCCGCUUGGAUUUGAACUGUGAUUGCAUUAUGUCAUGAGAAAGAAUGAACAUCUUAACAAUGAUGAGUCUCUCAACUCAUGAAUA
rnacentral:lncRNA from 1 species